rnacentral:tRNA from 1 species
GCUGAGGUGGGAGAGCGGUUUAAUCCGGUUGGCUCGAGACCAACUGCACCACAAACAGACGCAGACUUCGUCUGCGUUAAGUGGUUGUGCACGCAGGUUCGAAAAAGCUUUUCUUUUCAAAAAAGAAAAGACUUUAGAAAAGAAAACUUAGAUUGUCCUGCCCUCAGCGCCA